rnacentral:rRNA from 1 species
GAUGAACGCUGGCGGUAUGCUUAACACAUGCAAGUCGAACGGACUCUUCGGAGUUAGUGGCGGACGGGUGAGUAACGCGUGAGAAUCUGGCUUUGGGUUCGGGACAACCACUGGAAACGGUGGCUAAUACCGGAUGUGCCGAGAGGUAAAAGAGAAAUUGCCUGCAGAUUAGCUCGCGUCUGAUUAGCUAGUUGGUGAGGUAAAGGCUCACCAAGGCAGCGAGCAGUAGCUGGUCUGAGAGGAUGACCAGCCACACUGGGACUGGGACACGGCCCAGACUCCUACGGGGGGCAGCAGGGGAGAAUUGUCCACAAGGGGCGAAAGCCUGACGGAGCAAUACCGCGUGAGGGAAGAAGUCUCUUGGGUUGUAAACCUCUCUUCUUAGGGGAGAACAAAAUGACGGUACCUAAGGAAUCAGCAUCGGCUAACUCCGUG